rnacentral:rRNA from 2 species
UAGUAACGGCGAGUGAAGCGGUAACAGCUCAAAUUUGAAAUCUGGCUCCCUGCGGAGUCCGAGUUGUAAUUUGUAGAAGAUGCUUUGGGUGCACGACCCGGCCUAAGUGCCUUGGAACAGGACGUCGUAGAGGGUGAGAAUCCCGUAUGCGGCCGGCGUCGACGCCCGUGUAAAGCUCUUUCGACGAGUCGAGUUGUUUGGGAAUGCAGCUCAAAAUGGGUGGUAAAUUUCAUCUAAAGCUAAAUAUGGGCCAGAGACCGAUAGCGCACAAGUAGAGUGAUCGAAAGAUGAAAAGCACUUUGGAAAGAGAGUUAAACAGUACGUGAAAUUGUUGAAAGGGAAGCGCUUGCAACCAGACUUGGGCGUCGCUGAUCAUCCAAAGUUCUCUUUGGUGCACUCGACGACGCACAGGCCAGCAUCGGUUGGGGUGGUGGGAGAAAGACUGUAGGAACGUAGCUCUUUUCGGAGAGUGUUAUAGCCUGCGGUGCAAUACUGCCUACCUCGACCGAGGACCGCGCUUCGGCUAGGAUGCUGGCGUAAUGGUUGUAAGCGACCCGUCUUGAAACACGGACCAAGGAGUCUAACAUCUAUGCGAGUGUUUGGGUGCGAAACCCAUGCGCGAAAUGAAAGUGAACGUAGGUGAGAACCCUUUGAGGGGGCAUCAUCGACCGAUCCUGAUGUCUUCGGAUGGAUUUGAGUAAGAGCAUAGCUGUUGGGA